rnacentral:rRNA from 1 species
UACAGAGGUCUCAAGCGUUGUUCGGAUUCCUUGGGCGUAAAGGGUGCGUAGGCGGCGCGGUAAGUCGGGUGUGAAAUCUUGGAGCUUAACUCCGAAACUGCAUUCGAUACUGCCGUGCUUGAGGACUGGAGAGGAGACUGGAAUUUACGGUGUAGCGGUGAAAUGCGUAGAUAUCGUAAGGAAGACCAGUGGCGAAGGCGGGUCUCUGGACAGUUACUGACGCUGAGGCACGAAGGCCAGGGGAGCAAACGGG